GUUUCCUUCCCUAUGUAAUUUGAAGUUAUUGAAUAUCGAAAUGAAACCUGCUGAAGAUAGAUUAUCCAACAAAUUAAUAGAUACCAAAUUAAUAUUGGACUAUUUGCUUCAAAACUCUCCAUCAGCAAAAGUUGGGUUCAUUAAAUUCGUUCCAAAGGUAAAAUGUGCACUCUAUUUACUAUUGAAAUUGAGAUUCUUUAGUUUGAAUUUUUCAUACUUUUAUGUUUCAUAACUACAAGUCCCUUAAAGAGAGAAACAAAUUGUGAAAAAUGUUUGAUUGUGUAUCUAAAUCACAUGUUGGACUAGCUUGAAUGAAUAUUUAGACAUUUAGCUUAUAAUAGCUUCUUUACAUCUGGAAAAGACCGUUACAGAUAUGUCUAAAAAGCAAAAUUACAUAUUUUAUUUUAAUUAGUAUAUGCUAUGAUCUAUGAAGCAUCAACGCAUAUGCAAAUAUUUGAUAACACUGACACGCCGACAUUUAUGAUAAUUUGACAAAAUGACAUAAAUUUAUUUUAAUCAAAUGCGAUGGUUUUAUGUUAUUGUCUGGCAUAUAUCUAACAACAAGUACAUACAUUUGUUGAAAUGUAUAAGUUUUAAAAUUUUAAAGUUGUUUUUAUAAGAAUUGACAAUCUAUUUCUUGAUGUUGUACUCGUCUAAUAAAUAUUUUAAAUUCAUAUAAAGCCCAAUAAUAUAAGUUUGUGAGCCUAUCAUUAGUAAUAUGUUUUGCGAAAUAAUUAUCUAAUUCAGAUUUUGACGAUUUUAAUGUAUUUCAGAGAAAUAUCGAUUAUUUAGCUAAACUUGUUUCGACAAGAACAAGAAUAGGAGCAGGAGGAUCGGUUCGACAUUUUUUUUGGCAGGAUGAACAAUGAACAAAGAGAAGCAAGAGGAAUUUGAGAAUUUUUUUGGCAGGAGGACCAAUGAACAAAGAAAAGCAUCGAUGAAGUAUCACAUAAAACUUUUGCUUAGAGAAAACUUUUCACUAGUUAGAUAGUAUUUCUAAAAUUUUAUGUUUUCUUGUUUGACU
rnacentral:lncRNA from 1 species